AUCCUGGCUCAGGAUGAACGCUGGCGGCGUGCCUAAUACAUGCAAGUCGAGCGAAUGGAUUAAGAGCUUGCUCUUAUGAAGUUAGCGGCGGACGGGUGAGUAACACGUGGGUAACCUGCCCAUAAGACUGGGAUAACUCCGGGAAACCGGGGCUAAUACCGGAUAACAUUUUGAACCGCAUGGUUCGAAAUUGAAAGGCGGCUUCGGCUGUCACUUAUGGAUGGACCCGCGUCGCAUUAGCUAGUUGGUGAGGUAACGGCUCACCAAGGCAACGAUGCGUAGCCGACCUGAGAGGGUGAUCGGCCACACUGGGACUGAGACACGGCCCAGACUCCUACGGGAGGCAGCAGUAGGGAAUCUUCCGCAAUGGACGAAAGUCUGACGGAGCAACGCCGCGUGAGUGAUGAAGGCUUUCGGGUCGUAAAACUCUGUUGUUAGGGAAGAACAAGUGCUAGUUGAAUAAGCUGGCACCUUGACGGUACCAACCAGAA
rnacentral:rRNA from 1 species